rnacentral:rRNA from 1 species
UACGUAGGUGGCAAGCGUUGUCCGGAAUUAUUGGGCGUAAAGCGCGCGCAGGCGGUCGUUCAAGUCGCGUGUGAAAGCCCCCGGCUCAACUGGGGAGGGUCACGCGAUACUGAUCGACUCGAAGGCAGGAGAGGGUAGUGGAAUUCCCGGUGUAGUGGUGAAAUGCGUAGAUAUCGGGAGGAACACCAGUGGCGAAGGCGACUACCUGGCCUGUUCUUGACGCUGAGGCGCGAAAAGCUAGGGGAGCAAACGGG